rnacentral:rRNA from 1 species
GGCUCAGGAUGAACGCUGGCGGCGUGCUUAACACAUGCAAGUCGAACGGUGAAGCCCCGCUUGCGGGGUGGAUCAGUGGCGAACGGGUGAGUAACACGUGAGCAACCUGCCCCUGACUCUGGGAUAAGCGCUGGAAACGGCGUCUAAUACUGGAUACGAACCGCAGCCGCAUGGCUCGUGGUUGGAAAGAUUUUUUGGUUGGGGAUGGGCUCGCGGCCUAUCAGCUUGUUGGUGAGGUAAUGGCUCACCAAGGCGUCGACGGGUAGCCGGCCUGAGAGGGUGACCGGCCACACUGGGACUGAGACACGGCCCAGACUCCUACGGGAGGCAGCAGUGGGGAAUAUUGCACAAUGGGCGAAAGCCUGAUGCAGCAACGCCGCGUGAGGGACGACGGCCUUCGGGUUGUAAACCUCUUUUAGCAAGGAAGAAGCGAAAGUGAC